CUCACGACGUUGUAAAACGACGUUAUGCAUGAACGUAAUGCUCAUAAUUUUCCGUUAGAUUUGGCUGUUGUUCAAGUUCUAUCUACAAAUGGAUAAGAUUCUUUCCUGGUGUAUAUGAUUUCUUGAAAGUAAAAGUAAAGGAGCAAUUAUUCUUGCUUUAUCAAGAUUGCUCCUUUACUUAUUUGUUUAGUACUUUCACUCUUACUAGGUUAUUUUAAUCUUUUCUUAUCGCAUAUGUAUUGGUUCUGUUAAAUAAAAAAUAGUUAAAGAGUAAAAGGGUGGAUGUAGCCAAGUGGAUCAAGGCAGUGGAUUGUGAAUCCACCAUGCGCGCCUGUGUGAAAUUGUUAUCCACCAUUACGUUCAUGCAUAACGUCGUUUUACAACGUCUUGAAA
rnacentral:misc_RNA from 1 species